CCUACGGGAGGCAGCAGUGAGGAAUAUUGGUCAAUGGGCGGAAGCCUGAACCAGCCACGUAGCGUGCAGGAUGACGGCCCUACGGGUUGUAAACUGCUUUUAUACGGGAAUAACGCGCCUUACGUGUAGGGCUUUGCACGUACCGUAUGAAUAAGGCCCGGCUAAUUCCGUGCCAGCAGCCGCGGUAAUACGGAAGGUCCGGGCGUUAUCCGGAUUGAUUGGGUGUAAAGGGAGCGUAGGCCGCAAGGCAAGCGUGCUGUGAAAGGUCCGGGCUCAACCCGGGCCUUGCAGCGCGAACUGGCGUGCUUGAGUCCGGGGAGGGCAGGCGGAAUUCGUGGUGUAGCGGUGAAAUGCUUAGAUAUGACGAAGAACCCCGGUUGCGAAGGCAGCUUGCUGCAGCGGAACUGACGCUGAUGCUCGAAAGCGCGGGUAUCGAACAGGAUUAGAUACCCGGGUAGUC
rnacentral:rRNA from 1 species